rnacentral:snoRNA from 1 species
GGCCUGUUUUGGGCCUGUGGGGGUUCACUUUUUCCUCAGCCAAGGAUGGAGGCCAAAUUCAGCCCCUGAGAACCACUGUCAGGAUUGC